GCCCCGAGGCCCGGCCACCCCCUGAUCCGAGGAGCAGGCCCCCUCCUGGGGGGGACGCAGGGCACACCGCUCAGUGGGCGGCCUCCUGUCCUGCUCCGUGUCCUCCCGGGCUUUCCCACGGCCCCCCAUGGCCCCGGGGUCUCCUGGGUCUCAGCCUCUCGUGCCCGCCCCCCACCCCCCAGGCCUCUGGGCUCUGGCUGGCCUCCUCGAGGCCUAGAGGUGGGGGGAGUUCCCACACUCUGGAAUGGGGAGGAGAGGGGAGGGAGGUGGUGAGAGGGAGGAGGAGGAGGAGGGCCCAGAUGGAAGUGGAGAGAAAGCGGCCCUCCCGGAGUCCGUCUGCAAGCAGGAUUUCUAAAACAGAAUCCAGCGCUGGGAGGGGGAACGCCCGUGUUCACUGUUCACGGGGCCCCUGCUCUCCAGAUCAGCAGAUCAGCGGGACGAAGACCCUCCUCCGCGGCUUGAGGAGAAGCCCACCCCCAGCCUCCACCCUCCCUCUGCUUCCUCUGGGAGGAGGCCCAGCCCUUGGGCUGAGCUCUCCUUGUCUCCGAGCUCUCCUUGUCUCCACGACUGGCCGGCGAGGCAGGGCCGGAGGACCCCAGGGCUGGAUGUGUGGCAGCAGACGGUGGCCGAGCAGCAGGCCGCGUGCAUGGACGACGCUGCUGCUGGCCUGUGGGGGGUGUCAGGGCCCCCCGGGAGGCCCUCAGCCCCCCAGGGCUCCCAGCUCCCAUGGGCAGGUGGCCCCAUCCCGGCCCUGUUCUCUUUCCUCUCCGUGGCCUCCCUUUGCUGGGCCAAGACCUUGACCUUGGCGGGGGGUGUCCCACCUGCCCCCUUAUCAGGCCUCUCUUCCCCUGAAAUCUCCCGUCCAACGGCAGAGCUCACUCUGAGCAAAAAUGUGGGUGUUGGUGUUCAAUCUUUCCUCAAGGCUUGUAGGCAGGUGGGCAAGAUUCCCACUUAGCCAGCCGCCCACCCUCCUCCACCCCGGGCUCAGAACCCAUCCAGCUCCUUCUGGGGAGCUGCCCGUGAUCCCGGAAGGGCAGGCGUGGGCAGGCCCGCGUCCUGACGCCAGCUCCCGCCCUGCGGGCCCUGCAGCCUGGGGUGCCGGCUCUGUGGGUCCUGACACUGCGCCGCUCGUGCAGGGCGGUGUCCGCGGCAGGGUCCCCCCUGGGCCUCUGGGAAGACGCACCGUGGUUGGAGAUGCACUGAGAUGGCUGGAGGGGGUGACGUCAGCCAUUCGCAGGAGGAAAAGCCUCGCGCUUGCCAGAAGGUCUGUGGGGCAAGCAUGGAAAUGCUCACUUCUUCCAAAAGGUCAAGUGACCCACAGGCUCGACGGGAGGCACUGCUGUGGGUCAGGGGUCACCUGGCCGGAGGGGAGCAGGGAAGCCGCUCUCCUGUCCCUGCCCUGUGUCACUGGACCGCCUGGCUGGUUUGCACGGCCGGUACUCUGGCGGCCAGGCCUCCAGGGCCCUGGGCUGAGAGGAGAGGAGGAGGACCACUUGAGGCCAGGCGCUGUGUGGGGCGGCAGAUGCGGUUCCGUGGGAGCACGGGGCUCGGCCGCGGAGAGGGGCGGUGCUGCGAGGCGACUCUGCGGUGCGCGGGGCCUGGACCGGGGGCGGCUUGGAGCUGGGGGUGAGCGUGGACGUGGAGAGCCGGACCGAGACCCCAGAGCCCUCUGGCCGGAAAGGGCAGUUCUCACAAGCCCUGACUCUGAAACUUCCCAGCAGUUCCUUGUGGUUUUGGCCGCCUUUGCCUCAGCAAACCCGAGCAGCAGACGCCAGGAGGCGGAGGCCCCGCCCCCGCCCGGUCGGCCUGCUGGUCUCCCCCGCCCAGGGCUGUCCAGCUGCCGGCGUGCGGGCCUGUGUUUCCCAGAAUGA
ensembl:lincRNA